GAAGCGCUACAAAUUGAAUCGAAAACUGAUGCGUGGUCUUUUUUUCCAUAAGCAAGAGCUGGGUAUGGCACGUGGCUGCAGAACUAUGGUCGGCGCGGCAUCUAUCAACCCGUUUAUUUCAAACGGUUGCUAUUUUGCAUGAACAGAUAUGAUGAGCCAGGAGUGCCUGAAGAGUUUCAGGGUGUCCCUGAGUGUCUUGGUUCUAGCUCGUCAUGGUAUGGAGCCAGAUCAGUGAUACUGCCCAAGAGGUGGGGAGUGUGAAAAUCGUGUCAUGGAGUUCAAGGAUUGUGAGAGCGGCAGAUGGCGAUGGACACCUCUGACAUGAUGAACCUGGGUGCUUGCUGAGGUGCCGGGUGUACAGAGGUGUCUCAUAAGUGGCUUAACAUGGCAUGAUGAAUCUGGUUCCUUGUAGCGGUGUAUGGUGUACAGAGGUGUCAUGUGGCUUAACAUGGUGAACAUGAUGACUGUGGGUGCUUGCUGAGGUGCAGGGUGUACGGAGGUGUCUCAUAAGUGGCUUAACAUGAAACAAGAGUUGAUGAGCAUAUGAAGGCAUGGGGAUGGAAGUUCCAGCCACCAGGAAGAAUGGAAUUUGGAAAAAAUUCACAUUUUUGUUCUUGUUUAAAAAAAAUAAAAUAAAUUGUAAAUUGUGGUCUUUUCCCCUAAUUGAAUGGCAUUAAAGCACCUACAGUUCCUUCAUAA